UACGAACUGUGCGAACGUUAUUCGGAAUCACUGGGCUUACAGGGUGCGUAGGCGGCUUUUCAAGUCAGGUGUGAAAGCCCCCGGCUCAACCCGGGGAAUUGCGCUUGAAACUGGAGAGCUCGAGUCAGCUAGAGGUGCACGGAACUUCCAGUGGAGCGGUGAAAUGUGUUGAUAUUGGAAGGAACACCGGAGGCGAAAGCGGUGCACUGGGGCUGGUCUGACGCUGAGGCACGAAAGCCAGGGUAGCGAACGGG
rnacentral:rRNA from 1 species